UUUUUUUUUUUUUUUCAGUUAACUUUUAAAUAAGUUCAGUAGCAGAGAUGUUUUUGUUAUGGUUUUAGUUUUUAAGAAUAAAAUCCCUGCUUCGAGACACAAUGUAGGUUAACAGACAAACACAAAGACCUUCAGUGCACAGACCGUCAGAUCUGGCUGUAAUUGUGGAUGAACAUGGAUUUACUCCAGACUUUAGUCAUGAAACUCGAGUGUUUCCUCAUAUGGAAUAAACAAAUAAACAUUGUGGGAGAAAUGGAGAAGGCCUGCAGAUUGAUCUGAAGUUAAGUUGUCGCUCAAGAGGAACUGAAUGCUGGAUUGACAUAUGCUGAGGAAUUGUGCUGUUUCAGUCAGUGAAUGAGAUUUUAAAAACACACAAACAGCAUCAUAAUCUUCAAUUCACAAACCAUCAAAUCUGGCUGUAAUUGUGGAUGAACAUGGAUUUACUCCAGACAUUAUUCAUGAAACGGGUGCAAAACCAGGCCCUUUCCUCAAAUGGUAAGUGAAAGCAUGUUUUUAAAUCUUCUUAAUAUCAUUUGUCAAACUAAAUAUUAUGAGAGUGUUUUUCACCGUUUCAAACUGUGUGAUUUGUUCUGUUUUAGGAAUAAACAUUGUGGGAGAAACGAAAUGAAGCUGUCGCUCGAGGAACAAAUGUUGGGUUGUAAGUACUGAACAACUUUCUGCUGAAGAUAAAUGAGUUUUCUUGCUGUAAUUUUGGUAAAAGUGUUUGAUCUGGACUGACGCAGAUCUAAACUGACAAACUGCUGAAUUUACUUGACAUUUUGGACCAGUUUGUGUCUUUAACAUGUUUGAUUGGUAAUUUAGGUUUUUUUUUAUAACAUAUAUUACUAUUACAAAUGGAAACAAUGAGAUAAUGUUCAUCAAAAGCACAAUAAAAUACGACUUAUUUCUAAUUUCAGAAAUCUCCAUCUUCUCAAAUGCAUAAAAAAUCUUUUGUAAUAGUAAUUGUAAUUUGUAAUUGUAAUUUGGGUUUGUGAUCAUUAGAAAAAUGCAGUUUGUGAUGAUCGUGCUGAAUCACAAUCAGACAUUCAGACUCAUCCUGUGCUCAAGGGUUUGCAACAUGCUGAUUUUUAGGUGCAACACCAAAGGAGAUCUGUUGAGGAAUUGUGCUGUUUCAACAGCAUCAUAACAAUCUUCCGAAACUUCAUGUGAAAACAAACGGACUGUUUCACUCUGAUUAGAGCUCUGUGAGUGAUGAUGCCAGUGCUUUUGUGUGUGAACAUGGAUGUGAUUGAUAACAGACACAGACUCAUUGAUGACAGUAAUGAAGGCUGUGAGGAUGAGGCUCUGCGUGUAAACGGAUCCAUACUGUCGUCUGACGCGGGUUUGUAAUAAACGCUGAUGUUUAAUUGCGCUGCUCUCCUCUGACCCUACGCUGAUGAACAGAUAUUUAUUGUUCAGCGAUCAAUAACGCUCACAUCACCGUCUGAUAUUAGCAUCCAUGAACCUUUGACCUCCGUCAUCAUUCGUCUGCAGGCCUGUGAUUGGCUGAUCAGUGCUCGGCUGUUGCUACGGGUUACACACGUGAGCACAUGUGAUCAACACACGAGACUGAUGUGAUUUCACUGUCACUCUGUUAAUGUGGAUCAUUAUAAAUGAACUCAACCAAAGCCAUUUUUUACUUGAAAUAAAAUAAUCAUUAACUGAAAAAAAUGUAAAUGAGAGAUGAAAAAUGUAAAUGUGAGGAAAAGUCAGAAUUGUCAUUUUUUUUCCCUCUAAUCAGAAACAAGCUUUCAUUCUAAUCAGUCUGAUGUGUUUAAAUUAUUCUGUGGCCUUUUUUAUUAAUUCAUUAAUUCUGUUAACGAACAGGGAAGCUGCAGACAGAAGUGCUGCUGAUCUUCAGAGGAAGUGAACGCCGCUGUCGUCACCAAGCAGGAAAUGACCGUGUGUGUCUGUGAUCUCAGACAGGAAGCAGCGCAGGCCUCUCUCUUACCCAACGUCCUGUGAGCUGAUAGAGAAGAGGAAGUGGGAAGGAAAGAGGAAGCAGCAUCCAUGUGACGCAUCACAUCCUGUCUAUCUGACUGCCUGCUGGCGUCACGUGAGGGGUUUUCUCUCACACACACACGUGUUGUGUUUCCAUGUUUUCCAUAGGUGUAAUGGUUUUUACACUGUACAAACUGUAUUUUCUGUUGCCCUACACAUAACCUAGCCCUCACAGGAGACUGUGCACACUUUAACUUUCUCAAAAAAACUCAUUCUGCAUGAUUUAUAAGACUGUUUCUUCAUAGGGACCUAAAAAACAAGGUCAAAAGUUACUGGUAUUACUAUCCUUGUAACGUCCCCAUAACGUGAUAAAUACCAGGUACACACACACACACA